rnacentral:rRNA from 1 species
UGAGCAAUCUGCCCUUCUCUUUGGAAUAAGCGUUGGAACGACGUCUAAUGCCGAAUACGACCUCCUUUCGCAUGAUCGGAGGUGGAAAGCUCCGGCGGAGAAGGAUGAGCUCGCGGCCUAUCAGCUAGUUGGUGUGGGUAAUGGCCCACCAAGGCGACGACGGGUAGCCGGCCUGAGAGGGUGACCGGCCACACUGGGACUGAGACACGGCCCAGACUCCUACGGGAGGNAG